UGUAGUCAUGCCCUUUCCACGCAUGUUUUUCAUGUGCAGAUCUAGGUACUUUGACUCAGUCCUAUCACCCUUGAGGUGAGGCUACUAUUCCAGAGACUUCGAGAUAUAUCUGCCGCGUCCACAAACUGAGGAGUCCCUUUCUAAUCUCCCUAUUGUAUUAGCCCUUCUGUAUUUUCUUUUCCUUGUUAUAUAUUCUAGAUUUAGACACUGGUAGGAGUCCUAAAAUAUUAAUGAAAAGGAUCUUGGCAUCCAUGUGUUCGAGAGGUAGAAAACGACUGCUAGAUUGUCACCAAAGUAAAUGCAGAAUCCAGUGGUUGAGCGACGAAUUGUUGGACAACGAGCCCCACAUAAGAGUAUCAAAAAGAGGUGUUGAGAUAGGGCGAUGAGGAAAUAUAAGACCAUAAUAUAAUGGAGAGUGCCUUUCAAAUACCUUAAAAUGCGUUUAAGACACUGAUCAUGAACAGUGAUGGGAUUGGCCUUAAACUGGCAGGCAUGAUUAACAGCAUAGCGGAGGUCCGGUCGAGUGAGAGUGAUAUAUUGGAGAGAACCAACAGUACUCCCAUAGGCCUAAGGCUUGUGGUUUCAUGAGAUUUCGGGUUUUGGGAAAUAUUGUUAGUUCGAGAAGUUGUAUUGUAUAUGCUGAGCGGCAUUUUUAAAUUCUGUUUCAUUCGGUUAUUUUGGCUUUAAAUUAUUUCUUCUGCAAGUUUUGUUUAUUUUCCGCAUUUGUUAGGAUUACCUAGUCGUAGAGACUAGGUGCCGUCACGAUGGUUCACGGAGGGCGAACCGGGGUCGUGACACCGAGUCAAAAGAAUCAGAAGUAAAAUAGUACCGAACAUGAAGGUCUCAGUCCAUUCAAGAAUAAACAAAUUCUACAUUUUUACUAUUGUUGUAACUAGGGGUGGGCAUAAUAUGUUUAAAGUUGUUGCCUUCCAGUAUAAGUUAUGACCUAUUGCAAGUUUUUACUAUUUGAUAGAUAAAUUUUGUUAUGUGUUCUGUUACCUAUUUUGCAUCAACUUCUACUUGCUAUUAGCAGUUGUUGGUAUAUACAUGUGCUUUUUGACUUUUUCUGGUUUUGUGAUUAAUACCACAUAAUUUGGUUGGAAUACAUAUUAUAUUGUCCCAAGAGAAGAAAGAUAUUUUGGGACGAUGUUACUCUCCUAGGAUUUGGUAAAUCUAUUUUCCACUGCUGAGGUGUUUAGGUGUUUCUGUUUGCACGUUCUCUGUGUGCUUGUUCUCUAUAGUCUAUUAUUGAUUUCAUUUGUAGUGUAGUGACCUUUGUAUGUGUUAUUGUCUGCUGAGCUUACUUCUCUGCCCAGAUUCACAUUAAGUGUAAUUAGUCUCGUUCUGUAUGGGUGGUUACAAGUAAAGAAGGUAUGGUGAUUCCAAACAUCAGGAACUCCAGGAAGGCACCAAUGUAUACAAUCUACUUUUAGACCACUCUUCUCUUUCAAUUUCUGAAUGGCCACUUCCACCAAUUUUAUCAUCUCUGAAUCUGAUUUUGAUCCCCAAUACUCUGCAUUAAAAAUUGGUUCUGUUUUAUUGUAGCAAUUAUGACCAUUUGCUUUUCCCCAAUCUUCUGACUUUCCAUGUUAUGUUUGAAAUGUUUCUAUAGUAAAUUAGUACUACUACUAGUCAUUUUUUGUAAACCCUAAAGUAUUUUGAAAUAUAAAAUCCAACUAGCUGUAUUAAAAAGAAAUAGAAAACUGCAUGAAUAGGACAAUCUGUUUUCAUUUUCCUAGUUAAAUAUUGGUGCAUUCAAAGAUGCAAUUAACAUUUUCUAUUUGGAAGGGUUGUUGGGGGUGCUAAAGCUGGAAUAGUUCUUCAGAAAUGGCCAACACAUUUGUAAAAACGAAAAUGUCCGAAAUCAAUUUAGAGAAUCGAAAUAAGUUGAAGUAUCCGUAAACUGCUAGCAGAACACCUUUUGCUCUAAUUCGCGAGGCUGAAAUGGAGAGAAUACAAUCAACUCAGAAAAGUGAAGAUGACAGUCAUUCAGUUGAUGCUUUUGCUUCAGUCAUUGGACCUGAACAUCCAGGUCGCGUGAGAUUGUAUGGACGUAGAGUUACCAAGACUUUGUUAUAAGGGCAAAAAGGGAAUCUUGGAUCUUCUUUAGAUGCUGAUGAGAGGAUGUAGCAGAAAAUAGAGGAAAUGGAAGAAAGGAUGCAACAAAGAAUGCAUGAAAAGUUGAACGAACAAAAGGAUGCUAUGGAACAAAAUAUUACAAUGAACGUCAUUGCACGACUUCAACGUCUGAACCCAAAUUUGCGACUUGUUCCUGACAUGUUAAGGUUAAGUGCACGUUCACCUAUAGAUGCUUCCUCUGCACAACAUGCUGUUGUUCAACUAAACUAUUGACCAUCUGCUGGUAGUACAAUCAAGCUUUUGGAGCCUUGAAUAUUCUCAAAUAUAAUUCUCCUCCAACAAGGCACGGGAUGAGACGCACUCAAUGUUAUCGAGAGCAUGCUUAUCUUUGGAUCAGGAAUCGCCUAAAUAAGAGAUGGCUCGAUCCCAAGACUGUUUGAUCCGAAAACGAUAUUUCUCAAUAAGUGCCCGGAGUUGCUUUCUAAGUCAGUGAUAUCAGCAGUAGAUCUGAGACUAACACAUCCGGCUCGAUUUUCUUGGGCUGCAUAGUUUUCUUGGAUUUGAUCAAUCGUUAAAUCAAUAUUUUUGCUCUGAGUCCCAAACUAAUUUAAGCCCUGUAGCAUAUGCUUCAUACUCGACUUUGUUGUUAGUGAUAAAAUAACUUUUAUGAAUUAUCUAACUACUUUCCCUAAUAGGUAUUAAGCAUUGCCCCUAACUCGGGAGGUUUAGUACUUGUGGACCUAAUUGUGUAGAAGGUCCAGAUCCCGAGAAUUAUCCCAGAAAUAACAUGUUCGGGUAAUAUGUUCGAGCUAAGAUUAAUCAUGAAAUCUGCUAAAUUUGUGAUUUUAUA